CAAGAGCUGAAUGAAGUUGGAAACGCCGCUGCAAACCUUUGCACCGCGUCCCAAGCAUGGGCAUCUGCUUGGCACAGCCUCACAAACCCCAGCUAAAUCGUUUCUUUCCGAAAAGGGCUUGACUCCGCAUUGUGUCUGGCUCCACCUGGAAAACUAAACUGGUGCUUUACAUGAACUCUUACUGAACCUGAAUCGCAGUUUCCAUAUUCAACAUCUCUUCUGCUUUCAGUAGUGAAGUCCUUUUUAAUCUGGGUCCUGUGGAAGAGGGUCUGACUUCACACAGGCCAGCAGCCCAGGUGCAGAAACAGUGUGGGAGUCCUGGGUGUAUAGCUGGUGCCCAUGCGCAGGUUAGCGGUGCGUUUGUUACGUCCAGUGUCCUGCCCAGGUUCCACACAUGCUGUGAUAGGGAACGAUCUGAAUUUUAUCCAACUGACUGAACUCGAACCAGAGAUUUUUUUAAGUUUAAUUUAAUUUUAUUUUUUAAAUUGCAUAAUACUUUGGACGGGAAAAAAGCCCUGUUGCUGGGAAGAUCCUGCCCUCGUUGUUGGAAUUGUAAGAAUUUAAAUACAUGGCAUCAAAGUGCAUGCUGCUUAUUUUGAGGGAGGGGAGGAAAGCAAGCAGUAAAUGACCAUAAAUCUACAGAGGACUGUAGGUGUUUCUCCACACAGAAAGUCUAUAGGGAUGCCAUUAUUGUCUGUUCCUUUUUUAUAAGUUGAUUAUGGGACUGCCUUCUGAGCCUGUCAUCGCUGUCACUACUUCAUAAUGCACGUAAUUACUUCUCUGUGGGCUGCCAGACCUGCUAAUGAUGCUGCGUCGGCUGUUGCUGCUGCAAGAGGCGAGGACUGUGCGCUCACUUCUGCGGAGAGUGAUUGAAGCUGCAGCACGGCUGACCUGCACUGUGGCACAUUCUCAGAUGGGUUAAAUUGCAGCAGCUUAGGAGAAAGGACUGCUGAAGAUCGUAUCUCAGAAUCGCCCUUGCCACAGCAGCUGCUGAGGAUGCCUGCAGUACAAUACUUUUCCUGUCUGAGGAGAAAAACAAUAAGGCCCACACACGUUGCUUCUGGAAAUGCUUGUUUAUAGCCUCUGAUUCCCAUAACUCCUGGUUUGGACUCAGCUCAUCCUGCCUGGCGAAUGGGAGAAAUGGAGACAAAUGGGGGAGAGAGACAAAGAGAAGACUUGGAAAUAUGCAACUGUCUUUGCCACUUAUCUGUCUGCAGGUACUGGCUCACUGAAAUUUUUCAUGUUAAGUCUUUCACCUUUUGUGUUCCAGCUGUUAGCUGCUAACUGCUUAACCAAGAACCUGGAGAUGAAUUUGUUGUCAUAUUAUAAAUGAUCCACAUAUAAAGUGAUGGCCAGAGUACAGACAGAUUUUUAAAAUGUAGGGAAGGAAAGUAAGAGAGAUUCAUGGAAAUGAAUCAUGCAAAUUCUGCCCUGAAGGGUUCUGAUUAAUUUACUGAAAUUACUUCUAAUGAAACUAACUUUAUGUUGGUAUUGUUUGUAACAAGAAUUUGAAAAGUUGAGCAAUGAACAAUACCUAGGGAGGAUCACACAUACACAUUGAAGCUGUGCUGUAAUACUACUAAUACUUCUGAAAAUGCAUAACUCGAUGAAUAUUGAUGAAUAUAUGCUAGUUGGUUUUUAGAAAUCUUUUCUCAAGAAAGAAUGCCACAUCUGAAUGAAUCUUCCAUUUUUUGUUUGUUUCUUGCCAGGAUCUGUUUAAACCCUCGACCUUCAUAAAACACAGUGGAAAAAUUUAGUACAUGUAUAUAUUUUAACUUGUUAAUAGCAAUAUAGCUGUUGAAGUUCAAAGAGUUAAUUAACAUUUAAAUGACUGUAUUUUUUUAAAAAAAUU